rnacentral:rRNA from 1 species
UUAUGAUUAAGAGUUUGAUCCUGGCUCAGGAUGAACGCUGGCGGCGUGCCUAACACAUGCAAGUCGAGCGCGAUUAGUUGGAACGGCGACUUCGGUCAA